GACGUAGGGGGCGAGCGUUGUCCGGAUUUAUUGGGCGUAAAGCGUGCGUAGGCGGCUGCGCAAGUCGGGUGUGAAACCCCGGGGCUCAACCCCGGAACUGCAUCCGAUACUGCGUGGCUAGAGGUAGGUAGGGGAGAUCGGAAUUCCUGGUGUAGCGGUGGAAAUGCGCAGAUAUCAGGAGGAACACCGGUGGCGAAGGCGGAUCUCUGGGCCGAUACUGACGCUGAGGAGCGAAAGCGUGGGGAGCGAACAGG
rnacentral:rRNA from 1 species